AUCUCAGGUCUCUCCUCAAAUCCACGCGCUAAUCUUUCGCCUUUUACUAAAGAUUACCGUGGGGAGGAACACUCCAAUGAGCCUAUAGGCCAAUUUUCAGGAGGUACAUGUUCUAAAUUAUCU